rnacentral:rRNA from 1 species
UCACGUAAAUUAUUAAUAGUCGAACAGACUUCUCACUCAAGCUUCUGCACCUAAGAUACAAUUUAAUUCAACAUCGAGGUCGCAAACCUAAUUAUUAAUAAGAACUUGCUAAUUAAAUAACGCUGUUAUCCCUAGAGUAACUAUAAAAUCCUAAACAUAAUAAUUAAAAAUUUAAAUCUUUAAUAAUUGCCCCAAUUAAAAACUUUUAAAAGUUUUAAGCUUCUAGGGUCUUCUCGUCCCAAAGAUUCAUAAAAGAAUUUUUACUUUUAAUCUAAAUUCAAAAUUAUCUAAUAAAACUCUCCUUUUAGUAUCUACCUUUCAUUCCAGUCCUCAAUUAAAAAA